CCUACGGGUGGCAGCAGUGGGGGAUAUUGCACAAUGGGGGAAACCCUGAUGCAGCGACGCCGCGUGUGGGAAGACGGUCCUCUGGAUUGUAAACCACUGUCCCCAGGGACGAAGAUGACGGUACCUGGGGAGGAAGCUCCGGCUAACUACGUGCCAGCAGCCGCGGUAAUACGUAGGGAGCGAGCGUUGUCCGGAAUUACUGGGUGAAAAGGGAGCGUAGGCGGGAAUGCAAGUUGGUUGUCAAAUCUACCGGCUCAACCGGUAGCCGCACUCAAAACUGCAGUUCUUGAGUGAAGUAGAGGCAGGCGGAAUUCCUAGUGUAGCGGUGAAAUGCGUAGAUAUUAGGAGGAACACCAGUGGCGAAGGCGGCCUGCUGGGCUUUUACUGACGCUGAGGCUCGAAAGUGUGGGGAGCAAACAGGAUUAGAUACCCCAGUAGUC
rnacentral:rRNA from 1 species